rfam:Perkinsus marinus ATCC 50983 gcontig_1104296376342, whole genome shotgun sequence.
AAAUUCAAGCUGCUAUACUCUGGCUGCAUUGACUUGUGGUCAGAGUGUAUGGUGAUCAUAGCAAUUGCAAGUAUUGGGCUCGAUAAAUCCUUUGAAGACGACUUAAUUGCAUCCGGGUAUUGUAAGUGUUGAGAGUAGGCUUAGUCUUACGAUCCACUGAGAUUCAUCCCGUGUUGCGCCGAUUUGU